rnacentral:tRNA from 1 species
GCGCUUUUAGCUCAGUUGGGAGAGCGCUUGCAUGGCAUGCAAGAGUUCAGGGGUUCGACUCCCCUAGGCUCCACCA